ACGGAGGGCGCAAGUGUUAUUCGGAUUUACUGGGCGUAAAGAGCACGUAGGCGGAUAGGUCAGUCAGAUGUGAAAGCCCGGAGCUUAACUCCGGAACUGCAUUUGAUACUACUUGUCUUGAGUAUGGUAGAGGGGGGUGGAAUUCCCGGUGUAGAGGUGAAAUUCGUAGAUAUCGGGAGGAGCACCAUAGGCGAAGGCGACCCACUGGGACAUAACUCACGGUGGGGAGAGUGAGCGUGGGGAGCAAACAA
rnacentral:rRNA from 1 species